rnacentral:rRNA from 1 species
CCUACGGGUGUCAGCAGUGAGGAAUAUUGGUCAAUGGGCGGGAGCCUGCACCAGCCAAGUCGCGUGCAGGAAGAAGGUACUUAGUAUUGUAAACUUCUUUUGUCGGGGAACAAAGUCGGAGACGCGUCUCCGGAUGAGUUUACCCGACGACACAGCAUCGGCUAACUCCGUGCCAGCAGCCGCGGUAAUACGGAGGAUGCGAGCGUUAUCCGGAUUUAUUGGGUUAAACGGGUGCGCAGGCGGGAGAUCAAGUCAGCGGUAAAAUGUCGGGGCUCAACCACGGCCGGCCGUUGAAACUGGUUUUCUAGAGUUGGAGAGAAGUAUGCGGAAUGCGUGGUGUAGCGGUGAAAUGCAUAGAUAUCACGAAGAACUCCGAUUGCGAAGGCAGCAUACCGGCUCCAUACUGACGCUGAGGCACGAAAGCGUGGGGAUCGAACAGGAUUAGAUACCCUUGUAGUC